UGAGGAAUAUUGGACAAUGGGUGGAAGCCUGAUCCAGCCAUCCCGCGUGAAGGAUGACGGUUCUAUGGAUUGUAAACUUCUUUUGUACAGGGAUAAACCUGCCCUCGUGAGGGCAGCUGAAGGUACUGUACGAAUAAGCACCGGCUAACUCCGUGCCAGCAGCCGCGGUAAUACGGAGGGUGCAAGCGUUAUCCGGAUUUACUGGGUUUAAAGGGUGCGUAGGCGGAUGAAUAAGUCAGUGGUGAAAUCUCCGAGCUUAACUCGGAAACUGCCGUUGAUACUAUUUGUCUUGAAUAUUGUGGAGGUAAGCGGAAUAUGUCAUGUAGCGGUGAAAUGCUUAGAUAUGACAUAGAACACCAAUUGCGAAGGCAGCUUGCUACACAAUCAUUGACGCUGAGGCACGAAAGCGUGGGGAUCAAACA
rnacentral:rRNA from 1 species